rnacentral:tRNA from 11 species
GCCUGGGUAGCUCAGUGGUAGAGCAGACGACUGAAAAUCGUCGUGUCGGUGGUUCGACUCCGCCCCCGGGCACCA